rnacentral:rRNA from 1 species
UACAGAGGGUGCGAACGUUGCUCGGAAUUACUGGGCGUAAAGCGCGUGUAGGCGGGACCGCAAGUCAGAUGUGAAAUCCCCGGGCUCAACCCAGGAACUGCAUCUGAAACUGCGGACCUUGAGUACUGGAGAGGGCGGCGGAAUUCCUGGUGUAGAGGUGAAAUUCGUAGAUAUCAGGAGGAACACCGGUGGCGAAGGCGGCCGCCUGGACAGUCACUGACGCUGAGACGCGAAAGCGUGGGGAGCAAAC